rnacentral:rRNA from 1 species
AUUGAACACUGGCGGCAGGCCUAACACAUGCAAGUCGAGCGGAUGAAGGGAGCUUGCUCCUGGAUUCAGCGGCGGACGGGUGAGUAAUGCCUAGGAAUCUGCCUGGUAGUGGGGGAUAACGUCCGGAAACGGGCGCUAAUACCGCAUACGUCCUGAGGGAGAAAGUGGGGGAUCUUCGAACCUCACGCUAUCAGAUGAGCCUAGGUCGGAUUAGCUAGUUGGUGGGGUAAAGGCCUACCAAGGCGACGAUCCGUAACUGGUCUGAGAGGAUGAUCAGUCACACUGGAACUGAGACACGGUCCAGACUCCUACGGGAGGCAGCAGUGGGGAAUAUUGGACAAUGGGCGAAAGCCUGAUCCAGCCAUGCCGCGUGUGUGAAGAAGGUCUUCGGAUUGUAAAGCACUUUAAGUUGGGAGGAAGGGCAGUAAGUUAAUACCUUGCUGUUUUGACGUUACCAACAGAAUAAGCACCGGCUAACUUCGUG